rfam:Salmo salar isolate Sally breed double haploid chromosome ssa03, whole genome shotgun sequence.
UGCACCCAUGACUGUAAGUCACUUUGGAUAAAAGCAUCUGCUAUAUGGCAUAUA